CCCCGGUUCUGGCGGGGCUGCUGCGCGUCGCCGGCCUCGACGGCGACGACGGCUGGGGCCGGCAUCCGCUGGCGCUCGGGCCGCUGACCGGGGGC
rnacentral:tRNA from 1 species